UCUCUCUCUCUGUCUCUCUCUCUCUCCUCCUCGUUCCCCUUCUUCUUGGAGAUAAGAGGCACUUUUAGAGGGUAGGAAGGUGCUCGUGCUACUCCCCCGUGGAUCGUGGUACUGAUUGUGUGCCUGGGUUUAUCCAGUGACCACGCCGUUGACGAAACCAGCGCGGAGAAGCUCGGCCGCUGGUGAAAGCUGCCUCAGCCAGAACGCGGUACAUCCGACCUCGACGACAUCCAGUCACUACACCACACCGUCGCCACCUCAGCAUCCCCAGACUCACGGCGACUUUCAAAGCGGACCAGGCCGACCCGUGGAAGAGAUAAACGCGAGAAUAGACCAACUGUCGCGGCAAGUGUCCUCGCUGGAACACUCGAUGGGGGAGAACAUAAGGUUGAUAUUGACGCUGCUCCAACAGACGCUCAACUCGUCGAGGGAGAGUUCGAGCAUCGAGAUGAUGGGCGGCGGGCCGACCUCGGUCGGCCUGUCGAAAAGU